GGCCAAGUCAGGUCCCUGCCCUGGAGAGAAGACAGCUGGAAACACGGCUGGUGCACGGAGAUCCUCAAGAGUCCAGGAUGCCCCCUGCAGAGGAACUCUGGAAGAGUAGGGGGGUGAGGAAAAGAGUGACCCGAAAUGACCCAGACAGGGACGGGGCCAAACAGUGGGCCAACAUUCAGCACACUUCGGAGUUUAAAGUCAAAACCCACAUGUGCAGCAUAGAUCCCGGACUGGAUCCUACAACAAAGAAAGGAUGUUGGUGGAAAAACUGGUGAAAUCCAAGAAUAAAGACAAGAAUAUUAUCCCGAAGCAAAGACACCUGGACACGGGCACCUGGGGGCAGAUUUCAAGGCAAAGCUCAACCAAAGCAGCCUCGGGUCUGACUCUAAGCCUUUUCCUGUACUAAUAAGACUCCUGGAGGCCACAGGUCGUUGAGGAAUUUAGCAGCAAGAGAUUCACAGACCACGUGAAAGUGUUUGCUCUGAAAUCACUGAGCAACCUCUCUCCAUGGUGCUAUUAAUUCUCAUAAGCGACUGUCUUUUUCUUUUCAUGUAAAAUGCUACUCAGAACUCUGAUCGCCAUCUGAACCCCCCUCAAGAGUGCUGCUAGCUACAGAUGGGUGUCUCUAAUGAAUUUUUUAACUGCUGCCCUAAUAAAAUAUGGAUGA